AACGAACGCUGGCGGCAGGCCUCAAACAUGCAAGUCUAGGGGGUGUAGCAAUACAUCACCGGCGGACGGGUGCGUAACGCGUGGGAAUAUACCUAUCGAUUCGGAACAACUGAGGGAAACUUCAGCUAAUACCGAAUACGUCCUAACGGAGAAAGAUUUAUCGUCGAUAGAUUAGCCCGCGUUCGAUUAGCUAGUUGGUGGGGUAACGGCCCACCAAGGCGACGAUCGAUAGCUGUUCUGAGAGGAAGAUCAGCCACACUGGGACUGAGACACGGCCCAGACUCCUACGGGAGGCAGCAGUUGGGAAUCUUGGACAAUGGGGGGAAACCCUGAUCCAGCCAUGCCGCGUGAGUGAUGAAGGCCUUCGGGUUGUAAAACGUCUUUCGUCGCACGA
rnacentral:rRNA from 1 species